AUUGGAUCUUUUUUGUAUUUGGCCACAUAGAUUUGGUUGAUAAGAGAGUCCUUGUUCUUGUGAAUUCUCUAGGCUUGGUUGAACAAGAGGGCCUUGUUAGUGUGAGCGAUAUUCCAUGAUGUUUGUGUUUUUCUAGUAAUUCUCUCUUCCUCCAAUAUAUUGGAGUUUUGUCAAUCGUAGAUGACCACCAGAAUUUUAGGAGGAUCGAGGUUAUCUUUUUUGUGAUUUUUUUUUUUUUGUGGGAAUAGGUAAAUGGAUAUGAUAUGUGAAGCUAGUGAAGUGAGAAUAGUGUUGAUGAGAAUCAGCUUGCCUUCUUGAGACAGAUUAUUAAACUUCGACGUCAGAAUUUUGUUAACUGUUUAGUUGUGAUGUUGUUGAAUCGAGACGUAUUCCAUUCACUUCCAUUGGACAGCCCAGAUAGCUACCUAUGGUAGCUUUAAUAACCACUCCCAAUGGUUUUCUCAUGAUCAUCAUAAACUUUGUCGGUGUGUUAGGGCUGAAUAUAACAUGCGAUUUUUCAAAGUUGAUCAUUUCGAUCCAGAUUUUUCACAAAACUUUGAUAGGACAUUUUUUAUCGCCCAACAAUUCUUAGGUUGUGCUUUGAAGAAAAAUAACACAUCAUCCGCAAAGAAAAGGUGAGUGAUUUUUGGCGCAUUUCUCGCGAUCUUGAGACCUUCCAGUUCUUGACGCAGUUCAAUUCCUAAUGAUAUACUAGAACGAAACGCCUUAAGAUAUACUUCCGCCUCCUAUCUUCUUGUUUUUCUCUUUCAUUUCCCACAAAACCCUUAUUUUCAAUCUAGGGGCUACUAUCACCCUUUUUGAUGGUGGUAAGCCCUUUUUUCUCCUUUUGUUACUAGUUUUUUUUUUAUGUUUAUAGGGGCUACCAUCACCCUUUUUGACGGUGGUAAGCCCGUUUUUCUCCUUUUGUUACUAGUUUUUUUUUUUUUAUGUUUAUGUUUCUAAUAAAUUUCAGCCUCUAAUUGAGAGUUUUUUUACCCAUAUAUUAGGUUAUAUCUACCCAUAUAUUGGGUUUUAUCUAUCUCCAUGUGAGAGUUUGAAGACUUUGUUUUUGGGUUUUUGUGUAAUUCAAGAUGUUGAUUUGUUGAUCGAAAUUUGUGCGGAGUUGCAACAGAUGUCAAAACUUUAUUUACAAUCAAUUAAAUUAAAUCCAGUUCUACUUCAAAAUUACAAAAGAUCGACAGACCGAUUCUAGAAGGCUGCAUCAGACAGUGAUGUGAGGGUUUUCAGAAAUAUUAGGUUUACUCAACGAUCGUGGUUUUGUCAUAUUAGAAUAGUAUUUAUUUUAUUUUCAUAUGUAUUUUUUUAAUUUCUACUGUUAUUGUAGAUGUCGUAUGACUUUGAAUCAAUAAAUUAAUGUUAAUUUUUUUUAAAAAGGAAAAAUGAUAUACAUAGCCCUAAGGGUUAUGUAUAAGGUGCUUAAAGUAGAAAUAAAAUAUUAAAUCAAUAAUUUAUUAACUCAAUUGAUGUGAAAAUGUGUCUUGAAUUCUUAAAUUGUUUCCAUUUAAAGAAAUGUAUUUAAUGCUUAUAUGUAGCCUUAAAGGCUACCUAUAACAUUACCCUUUAAAAGAAUAUAUGUUCUUAUUAGAUUCCUAAUUUAAUGUGUUGGUUAUUUUGUAUUAGGCAUUUUCUCUACAUGAUCGCUUUUGAUGGCAAGCUUUACCCUUUUGGCGGCGGGGGGUUUCUUUCGCUGAGGUCUUUGAUCCUAUAAAGUGAUCUUGGGAGCAACUUCUGUAGUCUGGCUGGACACGAUUGUCGCACACCUUGGCGACUCUUAAAAGCUAUGCUUCAAGGUGAACACAGUUAGAUUUUAUGCAUCUAUGACUCGCAGUCUUGGGAAUAGUUUCUGACUGAUCUUUGUCUACAUAAUCGCUUGCAUGGAGAACCUCGGUUAGGGUGCCAGUGCACACAACUUUGUACUGAUUCGACAUGCAGGGGAAAUAUGUGCCUUUAAUUGGAAGAAUAUGGAGCGGUUUAUCAGGCCUGUGAUCGGUUUAAAAAACAAAAUUGUUCUUGAAGAAGACCGAAGACAAGUUACACCUUUACUUCAUCUGCAAGAAUAUCUUUUUUGCUUGAUAUGGACAGAGGGACCGCUGGAUGACGGCUCCCAAUCUUUACAUCUCACUAUCUUAUGUGUGUUUUUAGGUAACUGCCCUGCUUCUGCUGCUCCUAGUCAUUUGAUGGCUCAUGUGGUUGCAUGUUUCUGUGAUUGGAUCAACUGCUUGAUCUGUUUGGAAUCUGCUCACCUUAUUGUUUUAGUUCUGGAGUAGGAACUUUGUUAUCUAAGCGAGUUCCAAAGUUGGAAUCAUGGAUGAAGUGGCACUCAUAAUCAAGACUAAGCAAUAUAAACACAACAACAAGACUUAAACUUCCAAAUUAUGAUUUAUGAUUCAAGUUCCUAUUCACAGUUCCUAAGGAACUACCUGCUGCUCAGUUCCUCUGGAACUCAUUCGUGUUUUAGAGUUCCUUCAAGGAAUGGGACGCAUUAAUCUUCAGAGUUGAAGAUUUAAAGGGAUGACAUGAAGUCUAAGUUCAAGAGUAUGUACUUAGGAUUUAUGUAAGUAAUUUACGCUGCUUUAUACUAAGGAACCACAUGGAAUUUAAUUAAUGCAACAGUGGUUUUAAAAAGUAUUUGACAGAGAGUUUUCAGGAAAUAUUGUUAAUAAAUAAAAUAGUUUUUUAUUUUUAAUACAGAUCCUUUCUUUAUUAUUGAAUAAAUAAAAAUGGAUUUCCUAAAUAAAUUCCUUAUUUCUCUCAACGGUUUAAAACCACGUACUGUUAGUGGAUUGUCCAUUACUUUGCUUGUUCCUCAAGAAGUGUGAACGUGAGAAAAUGAUUCUACGUGGGUUACUGAUAUGCACUUAGUGGAGGAACAAGUGGAACUGGCAUGAGAAGACUUCACUAUAAAAAGAGAAGUCUGCCUCAUUACAAUCCACCAACUGAAAACAUAUUUGUCUACGUUUAUCUUAAGAGUUUUCAAAAGUCAGUUGCAUUCAAUAAGAGUUCCAAAGUUCCUUAAGUAUUUGAGUUCAACGUAAUUACUAGUGUUUUCACAAAAUUUGAGUUGUAUUUUGGGGAACAAGGGUUGAGUGACUCUUGUAACGACUUAGAGUUAAGUCAGUGAGUAGAGGCUUCGGAGUAGAAGCAAGAGAGAGGAGAGUUCCAGUAAUCAGAGGGGAUUACUAUAAGAACUUGAGUUCGAGAGGAACUCGAGUUGUAGAGUGUUAUUGUAAUAGAGUCAUUGCAAUAAUAAAGUUUUUGAGGUUUUCCCUUCUUGAUUAGUGUCAAGAAGUUUCCUCAAUUUUAUAUUUCUCUGCCUCUCAUAUCACUGUUCCUUUAUAAUUUUAUAAUUCCGCAAGAAACUUUGCCAAAAGUUACAAAGUACAAUUCACCCCCCUCUUGUACGUGUUCCAUUGAAGUAUCAAAUGGUAUCAGAGCCAAGCUUACGAAAUACAGGCAACCCUGUUGAGUAAAGUUCCUGAAGAAGAUGGAUACGCACGAGAAACUCGAAGAAGGUUACUCCACGCAAAGGCCUCCAAUGUUCAACGGAAAAUUCUAUACGUAUUGGAAAAAUCGUAUGGAAAUUUUCAUCAAGGCAGAGAACUACCAAGUCUGGAGGGUUAUCGAAGUUGGUGACUUCGAGGUAACAACGACUAAUGCUGAAAACGAGGUAGUUCCUAAACCAAUGACUGAAUUUUCAAAAGAAGAUUUUGAAAAAUAUGAAAUCAAUGCCAUGGCUGUCAAAAUACUGCAUUGUGGUCUUGGACCUCAUGAACAUAAUAGGGUCAUGGGGUGUAAGAGCGCAAAGCAAAUUUGGGAUCUCCUUCAAGUUACCCAUGAAGGAACUAAUGAGGUUAAGCGUUCCAAAAUCGAUCUUUUAAUGUCAAAAUAUGAACGUUUUGAAAUGCAACCAAAAGAAACAAUUCAAGAUAUGUUUACACGAUUUACUAACAUCACUAAUGAAUUAGUUUCUCUUGGAAGAAUUAUUCCCACUGAUGAACAGGUUAGGAAAAUUCUAAGGAGCAUGCAUCAGGAUGAUCAUUGGAGAACAAAGGUCACAACAUUGUUCGAAACAAAGGACUUUACAAAGUUCAGUAUUGAACAAUUGGCAGGAUCUCUAAUCACCCACGAAUUGCAUCUUGGAACCGCGGUACCUGAAAGUUCCAAAAAUCGAGGGUUGGCUCUUAAAGCUGAAGAGGAGUCGGAAUCAGAUGAAGAAGCUGCCAUGUAGAUAAGAAAAAUGAAAAGGUUAUACAGGAACUACAAACCUGGAAACCAAAAUGGAAGGAACUCGGUCAAAAAAACCAAUGAGUUCCGAAACUGGGAAUGGUUGCUAUAAGUGUGGAGAAACUGAUCAUCUAAUAAGAGAUUGUCCUCUUUGGGAAAACGAGAAAGGCAAAGGCAAAGAACAAGCCAAAGAUAGAUACAACAAGUCAACCUUUGCCAAACCUAACUUCAAGAAGGCCAUUAUUGCUGCGUGGGGAGAAACAAAUUCUGAAGAGGAACAACAUCCCGAAGAGACAGCUAAUCUUUGUCUCAUGGCAAAAACGAAUGAAGAUGACAAAGUUCCAUCUAAUAAGGUAAACUCUACUACUCUUCAAUCUCUGUCAGAACCCAAACUAAUUGAAUUAAUGUUGGAAACACUAGAUGACUACAAGAAACUUGGAAUUUUGAAAAGCCAAAGUGAUAAGGCUGUGGAACUAAUCAAGAAACAUAUGACCUACUUGAGUAAUGUUAGAUCUGAUGUGCAAAGUAGGUUCUUUGAUUUACUUGACAGGAACACCUCUCUUAAUGAUUUCUUUGAAAGAGUUAAAAAUGAAAACAUUAUGCUUAAAGUGGAGCUAAGUCAAUACAAGUUGUUAAGUUUAAGUCUAGAUCCUACAAAAUCUACUGAGAUAAGUAUGGGAAUUUUUAAUGUGGAUCUAGAAAAAUUAAACAACAAAUUGACUACUGCUAUGAACAAAAUGAGAAGUCAAAAAAGGAACUAGCUACAACUAAGUCUAAGAAACAGUCCCUCAAUAUAACUCCUCAGUGGAUUACUGAUGCCAAAACAAAAAGAACAAAAGGUCUAGGAUUUCCUUACAAGAAAAGCCAUGGGAAAAAGAAAAAAAUAUGUGGAUCUACUUAGUGUGAAAGUUUGUUCCUUUUGUGGUAGUGGAAACCAUGUUCUAAAUGAAUGUACAAAAAGGAAAGAGAAAAAUGUCAAAAAUGAAAACUACGUAAAGAAAAUAUGGGUCAAGAAAACUGAUGUGGUGAAAGAAAAGGAACUCGAGGAAACCCCAGUUCCUACAACUAAUCAGUGAUUUUCAUGUAGGUCCUAGUGAGGGGGAACAACUCGUGGUAUCUCGACAGCGGGUGUUCCAAACACAUGAAAGGAGACACAUCUAAGUUUCUCUCACUAGAGGCGUAUAACAGAGAACGGUGACCUUUGGGGAUAACAAGAAAGGUGAAAUAAUCGCCAUUGGAAAAGUAAGAAGGUCAAGUUCCCACUCAAUUGACAACGUGUUCUUAGUCGAGGGUUUGAUGCACAUUCUGCUAAGUAUUUCCCAAUUUUGUGAUAAGGGAAACUCGGUAAGUUUUACUUCUGAAAAUUGUCAAACUGUUAACAAUGACUGUGGGAAGGUUAUUUUGAAAGGAACUAGGAAAGGGAACACAUAUACUGUGGAUCUCAACCAAGUUCCAAAAGCCAAUUUAACCUGCCUAAGUGUCAUUGAAGAUGAUUCUCUCCUUUGGCAUAAAAGAUUUAGUCAUGCCAGUCUUUCACUACUUGAAAAAUUAAAAUCAAAAGAACUUGUGAGAGGGCUUCCUUCAAUUAAGUUCCAAAAGGAGAAAAUCUGUGAUUCUUGCAUCAAAGGAAAACAUGUGAGAAGUUCUUUUAAGCCAAAGAAAAUGGUUAGCUCUUCUAAACCACUAAAACUGAUUCAUAUGGACUUAUGUGGUCCUAUGAGAAUUCUAGAAGUGGUAAAAUAUAUGUCUUAGUGAUUAUUGAUGAUUAUUCUCGCUAUACUUGGGUAAUUUUUCUAGCAAGUAAAGAUGAAACUGUUGAUGAAUUUGUUGCUUUUGAUAAGAAAACACAGAGAACCAGUGGUGAUCAAUUAAUCCAUUUAAGGCCUGAUCAUGGAUUUGAAUUUGACAACAACAAGUUUGAUGAUUUCUGCAAGGAACAAGGUAUGGAUCAUAAUUUCUCUGCUCCUAGGACUCCCCAACAAAACGGAGUCGUUGAAAGGAAAAACAGAACCUUGGAAGAUAUGGCCAUAAUCAUGUUAAUUGCUAGUUCCUUACCAAGGAACUUCUGCGCUGAAGCAGUUAAUACAGCUUGUUAUAUAAUCAAUAGAGUCAUGAUUAGAGCUUUCUUAAACAAGACACCUUAUGAGCUUUUGAAAGGAAACAAACCUUACAUUUCUUAUUUUAGAAUUUUUGGAUGAAAGAAGUGACGAGACAGUUUUCUUAGGAUAUGCCUUAAACAGUAAAGCUUACAGAGUUUAUAACAAACGCACAAUGAGUGUAGAAGAGAAUGUGCAUGUUAUUUUUGAUGAAACUGACAAAGUUGAUGUAGUACAGGAACAAGAAGAUUUCGAAAUUGGUCUAACACGUUUUUCAGAUAAAGAUGACGAAAUCUCACCCAUGAAGCCACGAAACAUAGUUGAUGUUCAGGAGAAAAUGAAGAAGUUCCAAAUGAGCACAACGAAUCUCAGGAGCAUGAGGCUCAAGAAACUGAGAUGGAUGCACCCAAGCCAGAAACCGUUCCUGCAGCAGAGUUUCAUCCAAAACCAUGGAAACAUCAAAGUUCUCAUCCAAUGGAUCUUAUUAUCAGCAACAUUCGCAAAGGAACUCAGACAAGAUCUCAAAUGAGGAACUUUUGUGCUUUUCAUGCAUUCUUAUCCAUUCUCGAGCCAAGGAACCACACGGAAGCAUUACAAGAUGCAGACUGGAUUACUGCCAUGCAAGAUGAACUCAAUGAGUUCAAAAGAAACAAAGUGUGGCAUUUGGAACCCAAACCAAAGAAUCAAAAGGUAAUCAGUCUCAAAUGGGUUUUCAGGAACAAGCUCGAUGAACAUGGAACUAUCAUAAGGAACAAAGCAAGAUAAAACAAACUGAGAAAGGAAUUAUGAUUCACCAUCAAAAGUAUGUAAAGGAACUACUUAAGAAAUAUGACUUUGAAUCUGCUAAAGUGAAUCACACUCCUAUGGGACCAGCCACAAGAUUAGAUGAAGAUCCCAAUGGAAAAAGUGUGAAUCAAACAAACUACACAGGUAUGAUUGGAUCAUUGCUAUAUUUAACGGCAAGUAGACCUGACAUUUCUUUCAGUGUAGGUUUAUGUGCCAGGUUCCGAUCGAAUCCAAAAGAGUCUCAUAUGACUGCUGUGAAAAGGAUACUUAGGUAUCUUCGAGGAACAAACAAUUUAUGUUUAUUCUACCCUAGAGCUGGUGCCUUUGAUUCAAAAGGUUUUGCUGAUGCUGAUUACGCUGGAGAUUUGGUAAAUAAAAAAAGCACGUCUGAUAUGGUUCAAUUUUUGGGUUUCUGCAUGGUUUCUUGGAGUUCCAAGAAACAAAAUAUUGUUGCUCUAUCCACUGUUGAAGCUGAGUAUAUAGCUGCUGCUGCAUGCUGCUCACAACUCCUUUGGAUAAAGCAACAGUUAAGAGACUUUGGUAUAAUAUAUGAUUGUGUUCCCAUUUACUGUUAUAAUACUAGUGCUAUAUGUAUUUCGAAAGAUCCAGUUUAUCAUACUCGAGUCAAACACAUUCACAUACGACAUCAUUUCUUGAAAGAUAAUGUUGAAAAAGGUUUAAUCAAAGUAGAUUUUUAUGAAACUGAAAAUCAAAUAGAUGACAUUUUGACUAAUCCUUUAAACAGGGAGAAACAUGAGAAAAUGAGAAUGGAACUUAGGAUGCUCAAGUUGAGAUGAGUGCCUAUGAAAUUUCCUCCAAUGUAAAAAUGAUUGUUUUCAAUACAUGACAUUGUCAUUCCAUCACAAUAUAUUAUGUGCAAGCAUAUUCUAAGUUUUCCAUUAUAGGAACUCAUUUCACUUGAUAACUUGAGCAAAUUAAGCACCUUCUUUUUGUUUUAGUUAUAUGUUAUACACCGCUAAGCAAGUUUUUUUUUUCUGUUUCUCUUCUUCAUAAUUUUUGCUUUUAUUUUUCAUUUUUUUUCUUUUCAACGUGCACCUUAAAACACGUUAUUUCCGUUAUAUCAACAAAAAAAAACGUGUUAUUCCAUACACGUGUUCCACAAAAAAAAAUUCUCUUCUUUUCCUGUCAUAUGGUUAAGAAGAAUUUUUUAUUAUUUGUUCCUUCUCUUUCCUACAUUCACUAUCCUUCUUAAUCUCACCCAUUAUCUUUUUAUUUACCACAUUAUUGUUCCAACUCAAAAUUAUCUAAGUGAUAAAAUUAAAAUAAAAAAGGAAAACCCCUUUUCUUCUCUCUCCUUACCCCUUUCCACGUGACAAUCAAAACAAAAAAAAAGACCCCAACUUCACCUUCUCCAAAAUUCCAACCUCCAUUGAUACACCUCUUCUUCUCCAAUCUAUUUUCUUUCAUCUUCACCAUGGUAAUCACAAGUUUAAACACUGAUCUUUCUUCCCUCAAAAGAAAAAGAAAUUCAUCUUCCCCAAUUCCCAUGGAAACAUUACCCACACAAAACCCUAACCCUUUACAAAUUCAAAAUCACCGGUGUCUGAACCGGAACUCGCGGCUCCAACCCACGUGUCUAAUGUUCCUUCGCCACCUACAACCGCGAAGCUGCCUGUCGCGGACUCCACUCGCGCGAUUCAAUCGUGACCUAUUGCAUCCAUGUCCCGUGUCGCUACAAUAACACCAGCGGUGCUG